UUCCAGACUCCUACGGGAGGCAGCAGUGGGGAAUAUUGGGCAAUGGGCGCAAGCCUGACCCAGCAACGCCGCGUGAAGGAAGAAGGCUUUCGGGUUGUAAACUUCUUUUGUCAGGGACGAAGCAAGUGACGGUACCUGACGAAUAAGCCACGGCUAACUACGUGCCAGCAGCCGCGGUAAUACGUAGGCGGCAAGCGUUAUCCGGAUUUACUGGGUGUAAAGGGCGUGUAGGCGGGACUGCAAGUCAGAUGUGAAAACCACGGGCUCAACCUGUGGCCUGCAUUUGAAACUGUAGUUCUUGAGUACUGGAGAGGCAGACGGAAUUCCUAGUGUAGCGGUGAAAUGCGUAGAUAUUAGGAGGAACACCAGUGGCGAAGGCGGCCUGCUGGACGACAACUGACGGUGAGGCGCGAAAGCGUGGGGAGCAAACAGGAUUAGAUACCCCCGUAA
rnacentral:rRNA from 1 species